rnacentral:misc_RNA from 1 species
AUUCAUAUAAAUUUUUAAUUUCUAAACAGACAGUGAAAAAAACUUCAAGGAUUUAUCUAAUACAAGUAAUCCAACCAAACAAAACUUUCAUCCAAGUGGUUCUGCCUAAUCAUUUCUAAAUUCUAUUAUUAAAGCUUAUAAAUGUUACUACAAGGGCAUGAUUGCAGCUUUGGCUGGCAAGUGUUACCCUUGUAGUUCUAUCAUCCUAGGUCCACCUCCUAAGCACUGCAAGGAAAACCUUGAAGGUCGACUUUGGCCUCGUGAUCCUUUUCUUGAUGCACCCCGUAAUCUAGAGUAUGAUAGCCACCCUCUCAAAAAGUGAGCUAAUUUGAACUCUGACAUAGGAUUAUCAUCAUGAUCUUCACAGGGGUACUUGGAAUUGUGACCUUGGUUUUCAUUGUUUUCACUAUGAUCUGCAGUAGUCUUCUGUUCUUUCUCUUCAUCUCGGGUCCGCGGCGUUAAGCAUGGUUUGCGAGAGGCAUUUUGAUUCCUAAAAUGUCUUUUUGAAUUUGAAUAGUUGAUGGACAUAUGCCUAACAAAUUGAAGCUGAUCAUCAUCCUUGAUCCCAAAAGUUCGAAUAU